GGUAUUAAUGGGGACCCCAUUAUAUCCUAUGGGGUUUAUAGGGUCAGCACUGGGAUUAUAGGGUCAAUAUUGGGAUUAUAGGGUCAAUAUUGGGAUUAUAGGGUCCAUAUUGGGUUUAUAGGGUCCAUAUUGGGAUUAUAGGGUCCAUAUUGGGAUUAUAGGGUCAAUAUUGGGAUUAUGGGGUCAAUAUUGGGAUUAUAGGGUCCAUAUUGGGAUUAUAGGGUCCAUAUUGGGAUUAUAGGGUCCAUAUCAGGUUUAUAGGGUCCAUAUUGGGGUUAUAGGGUUUAUAGGGUUUAUGGGGUCGUAUUAUGGGAUGGAAUCCCAUCAUUUCAGUCCACGUUUGAGUCCGUUGUUUUCCAGGGAUUAUGGGGUCCAUAUCAGGUUUAUAGGGUCCAUAUCGGGUUUAUAGGGUCCAUAUCGGGUUUAUAGGGUCCAUAUAGGGCUUAUAGGGUCCAUAUAGGGGUUAUAGGGUUAUAGGGUUUAUAGGGUUUUCUAUGGGGUCAGGCCAGCUGGUGCGGGGCCUCGAGCAUCUCCAUGAGGAAGGUGUCGAUGGGGGUGUCCCUGAUAUGCGUCCAUAUAUAUAUAGGAUAUAGGGUCCAUAUUGGGGUUAUAGGGUUUAUAGGGUCCAUAUUGGGGUUAUAGGGUUUAUAGGGUCGAUAUUGGGAUUAUAGGGUUUAUGGGAUGGAAUCCCAUCAUUUCAGUCCAUUUUUGUGUCCUGAGGCCCAUUUCCAUGCCCCGAAAUAGGGAUUUUGGGGUCAAUAUUGGGGUUUUUGGGUUCCAUAUCGGGUUUAUAGGGUUUAUAGGGUUAUAGGGUUUAUAGGGUUUUCUAUGGGGUCAGGCCAGCUGGUGCGGGGCCUCGAGCAUCUCCAUGAGGAAGGUGUCGAUGGGGGUGUCCCCGAUGAGCUUGAAGAAGAACAAAUGUUCCAGGCACUUGAGGCCGAUGGAGCGAAGGGCCGGAAGGCGGAGCAGCAGCUUGGCGAACCUACAGGAUUUGGGGGGAAAAAUGGCGAUUUUGGGUCAUUUUGGGGCAUUUUGAGGGAUUUUAUGGGGUUUUGGGGUCGAAUGGGGGGGAAACUUUGGGGUUUUGGGGGCCAUAAUUUGGGUUUUGGGGGGUCAAUCUGUGGGAUAUUGAGGUCUAUCUUUGGGAUUUGGGGGAUUGGGGUGAAUCUUGAGACAGUUUUGGGGUGAAAAAUGGCGAUUUUGGGUCAUUUUGGGUCAUUUUGGGGGGUUUUAUGGGGUUUUGGGGUUGAAUGGGGGGGAAACUUUGGGGUUUUGGGGUCGAUUUGGGGGUUAAUUUGUGGGAUUUUGGGGUCAAUCAAGGGGCGGGUUGGGGGGGAUUGAGGCGAACCUACAGGAUUUGGGGGGAAAAACGGCGAUUUUGGGUCAUUUUGGGGGAUUUUGGGGGAUUUUAUGGGGUCAGGAGGGGUUUAUAGGGGGGAAUGGGGGGGAUUUUGGGGGUUUUGGGGGUGAAUCUGUGGGAUAUUGGGUUCAAUCUGGGGCUUGUUUAGGGGAAUGGGGGGAAACUGGAGGUGGAUUUGGGGUGAAAAACAGCGAUUUUGGGUCAUUUUGGGGCAUUUUGGGGGGUUUUAUGGGGUUUUGGGGGUUUAUAGGGGGAUUUUGAGGGGGAUUUGGGGGGUUUUGGGGGUCAAUUUGGGGGAGAAUCUGUGGGAUUUUGGGGCCGUCUUUGGGGGAUUGGGGUGAACCUAUAGGAUUUGGGGGGAAAAAUGGAGAUUUUGGGUCAUUUUGGGCGAUUUUUUGGGGUUUUGGGGGUUUGUAGGGGGAUUUUGAGGGGGAUUUGGGGGGUUUUGGGGGCGAAUUUGGGGGUGAAUCUGUGGGAUUUUGGGUUCAAUCUGGGGGUUGUUUGGGGGUUUGGGGUGAACCUACAGGAUUUGGGGUGAAAAAGGGUGAUUUUGGGUCAUUUUGGGGGAUUUUUUGGGGUUUUGGGGUCGAAUGGAGGGGAAACUUUGGGGUUUUGGGGUUGAUUUGGGGGUUUUUGGGGGGUAAAUGAUGAGGUUUUGGGGUCCAAUCUUUGGGUUUUGGGGGGAUUGGGGGGAAACUUGAGGUGGAUUUGGGGUGA
rnacentral:lncRNA from 1 species